rnacentral:pre_miRNA from 1 species
UCUUAAAAAUUUUAUCCAUUCGUAUUGUUAAAAACUAAUGUAGUUGAUAAAAUAACCAGACAGUGACACGUAACGUACUACAUAUACUUCAUGUUGACGUACAGAGAUCGAUUUUAACAAUAAAAUAGAUCGAAUUUUUAAUA